rfam:Rattus norvegicus chromosome 17, whole genome shotgun sequence.
GGGGAUUUAGCUCAGUGGUAGAGCGCUUGCCUAGCCAGCGCAAGGCCCUGGGUUCGGUCCCCAGCUCCG